rnacentral:tRNA from 1 species
UAUAUUCUGGUGUAAGGUGCACAUGAACUUUUGAUGUUUUUGGUAUUAGUUUAAUUCUAUUGGAUGUAA